rnacentral:tRNA from 4 species
CAUUAGAUGACUGAAAGCA